rnacentral:tRNA from 1 species
AAGAUUUUAAGUUAAAUUAAAUAUAAACUUUAAACCUUCAAAGUUUAAUAUAUAAAUAAAUAUUUUUAUAAAUCUUA